rnacentral:ncRNA from 1 species
CUGUCCGAAAUACGGAGUCCCGGCAAAUUAUAAAUGUGGCUGUAAUUUCGACCCUGGAGUAGACUGAGAUAUAUACCCCAGCCCAGGAUCGCUUCCUUACAGCCUAUUCUCAAACUUUAAAUGGGUAAGAACCUUAACUUUCUUGAUAUGAAGUUUAAGGCUAUGAUAUAAUGUGCCCAGUGGGCCACUUUUGGUAAGCAGAACUGGCGCUGUGGGAUGAACCAAACGUAAUGUUACGGUGCCCAAAUUAACAACUCAUGCAAAAACCAUGAAAGGCGUUGGUUGCUUAAAACAGCAGGACGAUGAUCAUGGACGUCGAAAUCCGCUAAGGAGUGUGUAACAACUCACCUGCCGAAGCAACUAGCCCUUAAAAUGAAUGGCGCUUAAGUUGUAUACCUAUACAUUACCGCUAAAGUUGAUGAUUUAUAUUACUUGUGAUAUAAAUUUUGAAACUUUAGUGAGUAGGAAGG